UAGGGAAUCUUCGGCAAUGGACGAAAGUCUGACCGAGCAACGCCGCGUGAGUGAAGAAGGUUUUCGGAUCGUAAAACUCUGUUGUUAGAGAAGAACAAGGACGUUAGUAACUGAACGUCCCCUGACGGUAUCUAACCAGAAAGCCACGGCUAACUACGUGCCAGCAGCCGCGGUAAUACGUAGGUUGCAAGCGUUGUCCGGAUUUAUUGGGCGUAAAGCGAGCGCAGGCGGUUUCUUAAGUCUGAUGUGAAAGCCCCCGGCUCAACCGGGGAGGGUCAUUGGAAACUGGGAGACUUGAGUGCAGAAGAGGAGAGUGGAAUUCCAUGUGUAGCGGUGAAAUGCGUAGAUAUAUGGAGGAACACCAGUGGCGAAGGCGGCUCUCUGGUCUGUAACUGACGCUGAGGCUCGAAAGCGUGGGGAGCAAACAGG
rnacentral:rRNA from 1 species